UGAGCGGAGAGCCAGCCGCUGUGGGAAAGAGACUCUGUUGGGGAUGAGGGGGUGGGGUAGAUCUGUCUCUUUCUAUUAUGUUGCUUCGUUCUGAUGAGCUGCUUGGUCCUCAUUAGACUAUACAAAGGGAGAGGAAACCACAGGAGAAAUCAGAAAGCACCUCAUAUUAUCAUAUUAGUAUUCCCAACCACAAUUCAAAGCUCAAUGGUAUUUGUUUGGGGCUGUCCCGUUUCAUCUUCAUAACAGCCCUGCGAGGUAGGUUAGACUUGACUCACCCCAUCAGUUUAGAACAUAGCAUUUCAGCAGUUGCGCCAUUAUUGUACUAGCCUUCAAAGUAGCGUGGGCCUGAGGAGUUAUUUUUUUGGGGGGGGGGGAGAAUCAGGGACGUUGAGCUAUUCAGAUUUGAUUUGAUUUAAUUCAAACAAAUCCCAAAGCGCUUACAAACAAUAAGUAACAGAACAAAACAUAAUGGAAUCCCACAAAUGAUGUAUUUCUAACAGCGCCCAAACAGGCUACUCCCCGCCCCCCAGACAGUCAACCCACACCAGAAAGCUGCCCCUUGGUGAUGACAUGACCCAGCUCUACAUCUGGGCGAAAGGCUAUCCCUUGCAACUACCUUUCUCUGGAAAAGGGUUCAAACAUAUAAAUAGCAAGGGUGUCUAGGUUUUGCUUGUAACUUUAUAGGAACUGACUUUUGAAUACUUAGGCCUUCUUUUCUAACUGUCUGGUGCUAAACAGAAACUCAACAGCCUCUCUUGAUAACAUCAUCCAGCUGGUCAACUCUUCUUUCAGCCGCACCCAGUGAGGUACGAGGUGGGUCCGUGGGGUGGAGUCAAUGGCUUUGAGUGGGUCAGGGGUGGGGCCCGACUGCUCUUGCCACCUCGUGGGGCAAAGGAUCAUCUUAUGGAGUAUGCAGGAAAGUUUCUCUUGCAAAUUCCAAAGAUCUCUGUCAUAACCUUUUGACACUUGAGGCAUAUACAUUUUAGGACCCUCCCACCAGAUUUUUGUGAUUGUAAAUUGUUUUGAACUGUUUUUAAUAUUGUGUUUUAAUGUUGUAACCUGCCCAAGGACCUUAGGAUGAAAGGAGGGCAAAUAAUAAUAAUAAUAAUAAUAAUAAACAUGGAGCAGGGUUUUUAGUGUGGCUAUCCCUGUUCUGUAGAGCAGCAUUCUUGUCGAGAUAUGGCAGGUGGCCACUAUCCACUCUUUCUGGAAACAACUGAAUACAUUUUUGUUCCGACAGGCUUUCCCAGCUGGGUAAAGGAGUCUUUGCCAGGAGAGUCUCUCUUGCAUUGUUUCAGUUUUGUUUUAAAUGUAUUGGCUGAUUUUUGUGCGCACUUUUAACUGAGUUCUUGUUUUGUUUUCGUUGUACUUCACUGAGGCAUAUGUGUAGAAGGCAACCGAAAAUUUGAUGGUGAUGAUGAUGCCAAAUGGGGGGGGACCCUCCCCCACGUUUAAAAUAUUUGGGUUUAUUCAACAAAAAUCUGUGAAACCAAACUGGUAGCGAAAAUACUGAAAGGAGCUGGCAAGCUAUUUGCCAUUUGACCUUCUUAGUAAGCACACAAAAUGGCAGUCAUGAAGGAAGAAAAGGGAGAAGAAAGAAGAGGCUGUGUAUUUUGUCCGUGGGGAUUCCUGUCUUGAUGCUGCUGGGGAAACAGAUCCCUGCUUUUGCUGGGUGCAGGGGCCAUUUUAAGCCUCCCAGAAUAUCCUCACAUGCUGGGUUGGUUGAUAAGGCCACAGAUUUCGAGACAGCUGAACCAGGUUCAGGCUGAGAUGUGAGACCCUAGUUCUUUUAAGUGGUUCUUUAGAAGAUAAGAUCACAAGUGACAAAACAGGCACAGGCUUUAUGGGGGUAGAGCAAAAAUUCACGAGAUGUUCCAGGCACAAGUUUGUGAUGGAUAUGUUUACAAUGAGGUCUGUUGAUCCCCCGUGGAAAGAAAUUGCUUCCACUUCCCAACAUACCCUUCAGAAUCUACAGAUCCUGAGGACCUCAAACAAACUUCUAGGGGCAGCAUACCAGUGGUGGACAGGGCCAGAGGCAAAAGUAGGCAGAUAAGUUAAUCCCCCCUCCCUUUAUAUGGUAGGCUAGUUUCCAAGGGCAUAUUCCAGGCAGCAGGCAAAAGCACAUGACAAGCAAUGCAGGGCCAGUAAGGGGUGGGACAUGGGAAGAGGUUCAAGGGCCAGACAGUGGCUUGAAGGGCCGUAUUCGGCCUCCAAACCUUAAGCAUCCCACCGCUGCCUUAAAACGAGUAAGGAAGGUAGUCCACUGAUUAUCAUAAGAUGAACUCAUCUUGCUCCAAAUCUGAAACCCACAGUAUGCUGGACGGGUCCAGUGGGUGGCUUUUGAGGUACCUUGUCUGUCUUCUAAGGAAACCCAAGAGGGCCAAACUACUAAACAUAUGACACUGCGAAACCUGUGACUGGGUAUCCCACCAUGUGUGUUUAUUAUAAUGCAUUUGUUUCUUCGGGCUUAUGGUCUUUAAAAUGUGGUGAGUCGUUUGGAGAAGUUCAUUGUAUAACAAACAAAUUACAUGUUUAAUAGUCGUAGUAGUAAUAAUAGUAAUAAUAAUAAUAGUAAUAGCAGCUGCCAGAGACAAAGUUCAGAUUCCGUUGGGACUGAGAUGCUGGGGAAGUGAGGUUUUCACUGAAGCUGCUAUUUUAUUGUAUUUAUUUUUUGGCAUUCAUUUUCCACCUUUUUCUCCAAGAAGCCCAAGCUGGUAUAAACAUGGCUGUCCCUCCCCUCCUCCUUUUGUCUGUAAUGCUAUUAUUAUUUUUAAAAUCCUGUUUUUAAAUAGUGACUGUAAGUUGCUUUCAGAGCUGUCAAACUGCUAAAUGUUAGCAAGACAGGGAGAAGCCCAUGUUUCUGCUCUUUAAAUAACCCUUCCAGGAAUAUCCAACAUGCCUUCAUCUCUCAGAACAAACAACCUCUGCUCAUAGCAGGCUCUUUCCCCUUCAUUCCUUCUCUAUGCACUAUUAUUCCUGGCAAUUGGCAAUCCAGAGAAAACAUAUGUAUUUUUUCGCUUUCCCGCUCAAAAGAAGAACAACAAGAAGAAGAAUUUUGCAUUUCCCAAAUUGCCAACUUCCACCAUUGUUUCUGCAAUGCCAGGUCAACCAGAGGUCUCCUACCACCCAAGCACAGGCUUGCGGUCAAAGGUGGAGCUUAGUUUCCAAAUGCACAACCACAGAGCCGUGGCUAAUUGCCUAAUAAGCCUUUGGCUUAUUAAUGAUGACUAAUAGCUGGUGCCCCCUUGUCGGUUCUUGCUGCUUAGAAGUGCUGUGCCUAUGGUGAGGCUGUCUCAUUCUUUCUGCAUUGCCCAUACAAAUCCCAGUGGUAGGAAGGAAGGGUCAGUGGCGACAGAGGCACAUGCAGAGCUAGCACAAACAUUGUGGCAAAUUAGGGCAGAUGCUUGGGAUAUCGAUAUUUCAGGGGAGCCUACCUUGGCUCUGCAAAUAUCCUGGAAAAAGAACGAGUGCCUACUUUUUAGAAGGAGGUGUAGAGAGGCAGCUUAGCAUUAGUUGAUGGGGGGGUAUCCCCUGCAUUUGGAAAGCGGAGGAACAGCAGCAAGAUAUUUAUGAUCCUCACCAACCAUCUAGAGAAGAGACUCAGGGCCCCAAAGAAGGAAGUCUGGGGCUGAAUCUCCCAACUUUCUAAAAGUACAUUUAAAGCCCUUGUAUACAACUUUUAACAGUCCUGGCUCUCUCUCUCUCCCCACAAAGUAUCAUGGGAACUGUAGUUUUUAAGGGUGCUAAGAGCUGUUAUAAGACCUCUCACCCAAAGAGGCUGGUUAUUGCUAGUCAUUAGUGUCAGGUGGCAGGAUCUACUGCACCCCACUUUGCAGGGAAUUAAAUAUACAGCGUGAAUUCCUGUGGAUCACAUGUGUGGAUGAACAACCAAAGAACCAGCUGCGUGUCUAGUUUCAAAAUGUGGGGCUUGCACACAGAAAGCCCCAGCAGAGUCUAAAAUCAAGUCACAACUUGUGCAUUAUGAGAAUAGGCUGUUAAACCUGCUUAGAUACCCUGUUCAGUCUGCUGAAACAGUACCCUCUUAGCACUGAACAGAUCACACACUGUUAAGUAAGUUUAAAAUGCUUUCUUUACAGAUUCAAAGGUCUGAUACAUGCAUUGUUCCAUGCAGCUGGAAGGAGAACACAGGCAAAAUACUAUUGGGUAGAAAAUACAGUUCCAAACAAAGGCUCUAAGUUUGGGGGCAAGCUCACACACAUCCGCCUUUGUUGGUUACAUGGUGCAGAGAGAGAAAGAACAGGGGAGGGAGCCUGACUUCCUUUCUUCCAGGGUGAGGGGCGUGUGAUAAACACUUUGCCAACCCUUUCCUCUGAAGGAGAUGGAGUGUGAUCCAGCCAGGCCUCGGAGGACUUACACUAUGAUCUUAACUCCUUCAUGCAGUAACUAGGACUCAUGCAUGUUUGGCUGCAAUUUCCCACACACUCCUCUUCUGCUCCCUGUGUAGAAACCAAGAGGGCUGCCAAAGGAUAGAAGCCCCUUUCCUUCAGGCUUUGCUCUUGCUCCUUGUCCCUGCUUGUGGGCUGCCCAGAGGCAUCGGCUUGGCCACUAUGGGAAACAGAUGCUGGACUAAAUGGGCUUUUGUUCUGACCCAGCAGCCAGGCUCUUCUUAUGACCAAAUUAAAAAUGGAGAUGGAAAAACAGUAUGUCAGUGAGCUCAGGAUUUGGGUGAAGGCAAAACUUUAACAAUGUGCUUACAGCAGCAAAAAAAAACCUCGGCCGACCUUGGGCUCACGUUGCAGUUGCUAUUCUGAAAAACACAAGGUCAAGAUUCACUAUCAGUUACUGUUAAGGGUGAAUUAAACAGUGGGGUUGUACAGAGUUUUAUAGCUGCCAGAGGAUGGUGCUUUGAAAGUUUGAGCAAGAAUCUGUCGAAUGAUCUAAGACCUAGAUUUAAAUCUUGUCACCCAUCCCUGCUGCACCAGGGCAGGAAAAGGAUAUUCCCACACCCUAUCCCCAUUUUCUGGAAGUUUGGUGGUAUGUCCAAAAUCAGGUCAGCAGUCUCGAGCCAAAUAAUCCCUUUUUAUUUUCCAUCUUUUGAACUUUCAGAUACGCUGCCCUAAAUAGAUAAUUUGAUUUCUGCCGGUUUUAUUUAACACAGCUGCAUUUUUCAUUGGCCAUUUUUAGCGUGUUUUAUUGUUAGCGUAUUUUAAUCUUUUAAUGCAAGCCACUUUGGUAACGUGGCUUAACAGCGGGGCAUACGCAGCUAGAAAUAAAUGUGGUUAUUAAUAACGCGUAAGCUUGUCUGCCUGCAAUUCCUCAGUUCCUAUUAGGUCUGGGGAGGGGGCUAUCAGGCGCCGCAAUUAAACACUUGUGUGAGUCGUCAUAGGCACUAAGGAAUAGCAUGCGGACGGGUGAGCAGUCUGGCAGAGAAGCCUCCUUCCUUCAGGCUCAGCAGAGUCAUAUAGCAGGAUGAUACUAAGGGGAAGAGCUGUAGCUCAGUGGUAGAGCACCUGCUUUGCAUGCAGAAGGUCCCAGGUUCAAUCCCCAGCAUCUCUAGGUUAGGGCUUGGGGAGACCUCUGGUUAGAAACUCCUGAGUACCAUUGCUGCCAAUCAGUGUGGACCACAGAUCUUCAGCCAGUGGGUUGGGAAGUACAGGUGGGUCGUGCGGCAAUCCAAGAUGGGUCACAGCAAAGCCACUGCUGCCAUGUUGGACCCCAGCUAAGGCUGACCAAACCAAAGGACACUGCGUGCGGUGUCUGGGCUAUAAAAUUUUACCAUUUUUAUCAAUUAUUUGUGCUAUUAAAUUUAAAUCAAAAGUGAAUACAGUGGUAUCUCAGGAUGUGAAUGGGAUCCGUUCCGGAGCUCCGUUUGCAUCCCAAACAGAACGUAAGACGUGACAGUGCGUCUGCGCAUGCGCUUGAUGUCAUUUUUAACCAUCUGCGCAUGUGCGAGCAGCGAAACCCGGAAGUAACGCGCUCUGUUACUUCUGGGUCGCUGCGGAGCGCAACCUGAAAAUACUUAUCCUGAAGCAUAUUUAUCCCGAGGUAUGACUAUAUGUGAAAGUGGGUCUCAUGGUACAGGCUGGGAGUCAGAGAUGGGUCUGGGGCCUGGACCAGUUGAAUACCACUGGUGUAGACAGUACUGACCUAGCUAGAUUAAUGGUUCGACUCUGACACAGUAUAAGGCAGUUUCCUGUGUUCUUAUGGGGAAAUGGUGUUCCCUUUCCUUAAUCUGCAAGCUCCCAGCAGGCUAGUGGACAUUCUUUGCAGCAUAUUUUAUAGGAUCGUUUACAAAGGGUGGCAUUGAUGUUAUCCCCAUUUUGCAGAUAGGAAGCUUGAGAGAACAGCAACAUUCCUAAAGUCUCCUUGCAAGUUACCAACCUAGCUGAAAUCUGAAAAGGAACGCUGCUCAGUGUCCACCCUUAGCUCUGUGAAAUUCUGGAAAUAGCACACUCCAAAUUAUGAUGAGGCCAGCUUAUAUACAGAGGGGGGCAGGCAACCCUACUGAGAAGCCUUCCUGUGACUGGAUGCCCUGUGGCGAGGAAGGAGCCAAACGCUAUCUCUCACACAUGGACACAAACACAAACUGAGUGUCUGUUUCACUGCUGCAUGCACCUAGCCCUCUCCUCUUUGCCUUCAAAGUCUUGGCAACGUGGUGUGGAUAACAAGCACUCCCCUCGCCCUGAAAGCUGAGCUCAAAGCAACAAGGGAUAGGAAAAUAAAGCUCACAGGGGGUUAUUUGGGUUGGCCAUUCUACCGUUCUCUCUGCACAAGGUAUUGGCAGAGCCAUAAGCCAAAACUCCCUAGGGGUUCAUUUGCUAUAGACACUCCUAUAAAUACCUCUUAUGACAAGCAAACCAGACUCAAUGGCAUUGGAAGGAGCCACCUUGAUAUCGUGAUGCAGCCACCUUCAGUCUUUUCUGAAUAGCUUGCAAAGUCUUCAACUGCUCCAGACCCACCUCUGACUCCCAACCUGCAACAUGAAACUGUCACAUAUUCAUUUUUGUUUUAUACUUAACAGCACUGAUAAGGCACAUUAUUAAUCCUAAAAAGGAAAUUCACAAAGCAAUAUACAUAGCUCUGCUUUAGCAUUCACACUACAAAUGAAAACCCGUGAUUUUUACACUUUAUCUUAAUCAAAAAGCUGAGAAGCUAUUGAAAACCAGUGGCUUAUUAUUAUUUCCAAAGGACAUUUUUGAUGAGACUCCUGGGCAAGUUAAUUCUUCCAGAUUUCAUUCCAUUGAGGGGUGAUAUCAGGUUAACUUGCAACUCAUUGCAUAAGGCUAAACUUUUAUUAUUAUUAUUUUUUAUUUUGAAUGUCAGUGUUGUUGAGGAGCCUUGCUCAGAAAGAUGCCAAAUGGCAGCAGGUGGGUGAUGGUUUUGCUUGCCAAUUCUGGGUAUUCUUUAGUAACUGAAAUCCAAAUCUUUGGAAAAUGGUAGUUGCUGAAAUUACACUUUUAAGGUCGUGUCACAGGAGAGCUCAAGGAAUCAUUUCUGCAACUCAUGUUAAUUCCAGGUAACUCUAUGUCCUGUGAAUGAUGACUGUACACAUACCCUCUCAUGCAAAUUUGAUUUUUAGCUUGUGUUCUUGUACCAGGGAAGGAUGCUGUGCUGAGCUCUGUGUGUGUUUGUGUGUGGUGGAGUAGAUUUCAGCCUGUGAAGGAUUUCUUGCUCUUUCUUUUUUGAAAAACAGAAGAUACUUCUGCAUUCUAUAAUCUGCAGUGAACUCUUACGUCUUCUCGUCUCCAGUAUCCUUCCAUUCUGGGAGAAACGUAAAAAUCCAAAGACAUGGUGCAUGCAUGCACACAUACAUAAUUUUAUUUGUAUGCUCCCUUUCCAUAGUUCAAACCAUGCUCAAGGCAGCUUGCAACAUGGCAAAAAUACAUAACUGCAACAUAACAAAAAUAGUCAUAAACAAUAAAUAAAACAUUUAAAAACAUGCAACCAAACUGAAAAGUUUCCACAUAAAUCACUAGAUCUAAAAUUAAACACCCCCUCCACGAAACAAUACCCCAGCCCAAGAGUCUGUUCAGCAGCCUCAGCUUUUGUAGCUGAAGUCAAUCAGGGCCUCACCCAGGCCAGGUAGAAAAGGCCUACAAGGCAAGGAGCAGGUCUCCCAGGCCUCAUAGCUAAAUUGGUGCAGCCACCGAAAAGGCCCUCUCGCUUGUGGCUAUGUGACUAACUUCCCCUGAUGGAAGUCAGAGAAGGGUCUCAUCUGAAAAUUUUAAUACGCACACAGCUAUCCCUGGGGACAAGGGACAAGGCAGCUUUCUGGAAGGCUGGGUAAAAGCAAAAAGACAGCGAAGGUAAUUGAUUCCGAAAUUUGAUUCUGCCAGUUUAAAACAAGGCUGUUUGCUUGACCUCUUCAGCACAACAUGCCAAGAUAACAUUUGGAUCUCACAUGUUAAACCUCUGUAAUGACCGAAGGCCUUCUUCUGCGAAAAUAAAGCCACAAAAAUGGUCGGGGGGGGGGGGGGUCAGGCCACAGUGUUUCGUUCCGCUUAAUGCAGCAGCCAUCUCGAUGCUUCUCUGUUUCCUUUAUGCUAGCUCUUAAAAAUCUAGAAGCAGGACUGUGACUUUCAGCGAUGGAGCCCUGUCUGUGGAAUUCUCCCCAGGGAGGUACUCCUGGCGAUAGCAUUAGCAAGUUUUAGGCGCCAGGCAAAGAGGUUCCUGUUUAGCCAGGAAUUUGGCAUUUAAUUAGGAUCAUAUGGCACAAUGAUCUUUCUUGUUACAGUGUUCGUCUUUUUGUAGGGCAAGGUAGGAAUUGUCUUUCUCUCUAAUACUUCAUGGUGAAUACUUUUAGUAAACAAUACUGGUUUUUAUGAUUGUUUACACUUGUGAAAGUGUAUGUUUGCUUGGCUUUUAGCAACUGUAAGCCACUUCAUGACAAUUUAUGUAGUAGAUGAUUAAUAAAUGUAAUAAAUAAUGACAAUGCGAUGGAAGUCACCACCUCUGGUGCUUUUAAAGAAUGUGGCUCCAGUAGCUUUGUGGAGAAGAGGGAAUUUUAGCAGGCAGGUUUGUCCUGAUAAAAGGCAUCUAUGACCUUUGGAAACUUCCUCUGCUAUAAAAGCAUCAAAGAAAUGGGGGGGGGGGAGAGAAACUGCUCCUCCUUUUUGCAUCUGGUCACUCUAUCUAUCUGUCUAUCUAUCUAUGCCAAAUUAACAUUCUGCACACAGAACAGCUGGAUUCUGCGACCUGUAACAAUGGAUGCAAUUUCAGCAAGUUGCAAAACUUCCAUCAAACUUUGAACAAUUAAUUCUGCCCUCCUGGUGUCUCAUUUGUUUUGCUUUUUUAUGCUCUGCGCUCUUGAUGACAUUGGGCGAUGACAUAUGCGAUCCUGCUUUCAAUAUUGUUUGGGGGCAAAAGUUUUGGGGCAGAAACCUGCUGUUUCAUUUCCAAUCAAUGCAUGUCCUGUAACUUCUUGCUGUAAUCCUGUAACUUUUUUUUUACACCAAUGUUGCAGAGAUGUGUGCGUUUUGUCUUGCUAUGGUGCAAGAGUGACCCUCCAAGAUCACAAUAAUGCAGUGACAUCGGGGAAGCAUUGCAGAACAACCAAGAAAGCAGAAUAGCAUGUGGAGAUUGCAGUACAAAUCCACCACUAAUGCACUAUUACUGUGCCAAUGAAAAAAACGACAAAAGGAAAACACUAGUCUGAAGGGG